rnacentral:lncRNA from 1 species
GAUACCAGACUAAGUAUGUAAAGAUGACCAAUCAAAAGGGGAAACCACAAACAUUACCGGCAAACGGCGAAUGAAAGAGGACCCACUGAGGAUAAAAUGGCUUACUCGGAGCAAUUAUCCAAAAGGAAGGGGAAGACCCGCUGGGGAUAAGAUUGCUUAAUCAUACCACAAACAUUACCGGCAAACGGCGAAUGAAAGAGGACCCACUGAGGAUAAAAUGGCUUACUCGGAGCAAUUAUCCAAAAGGAAGGGGAAGACCCGCUGGGGAU